CGGACGGGUGAGUAACGCGUGAGAACCUGCCUUCAGAAUGGGGACAACAGUUGGAAACGACUGCUAAUACCCAAUGUGCCGAAAGGUGAAAGAUUUAUCGUCUGAAGAUGGGCUCGCGUCUGAUUAGCUAGAUGGUGGGGUAAGAGCCUACCAUGGCAACGAUCAGUAGCUGGUCUGAGAGGAUGAGCAGCCACACUGGGACUGAGACACGGCCCAGACUCCUACGGGAGGCAGCAGUGGGGAAUUUUCCGCAAUGGGCGAAAGCCUGACGGAGCAAUACCGCGUGAGGGAGGAAGGUCCUUGGAUUGUAAACCUCUUUUAUCAGGGAAGAAAAAAAUGACGGUACCUGAUGAAUAAGCAUCGGCUAACUCCGUGCCAGCAGCCGCGGUAAUACGGAGGAUGCAAGCGUUAUCCGGAAUUAUUGGGCGUAAAGCGUCCGUAGGUGGUUUUGCAAGUCUGCUGUUAAAGAAUGGAGCUUAACUCCAUAAGAGCGGUGGAAACUGCAAGACUAGAGUACAGUAGGGGUAGCAGGAAUUCCCAGUGUAGCGGUGAAAUGCGUAGAUAUUGGGAAGAACAUCGGUGGCGAAAGCGUGCUACUGGGCUGAAACUGACACUGAGGGACGAAAGCUAGGGUAGCGAAAGGGAUUAGAUACCCCUGUAGUC
rnacentral:rRNA from 1 species